UGAGGAAUAUUGGUCAAUGGGCGAGAGCCUGAACCAGCCAAGUAGCGUGAAGGAUGAAGGUCCUAUGGAUUGUAAACUUCUUUUAUAGUAGAAUAAAGUGAGCCACGUGUGGUUUUUUGUAUGUAUACUAUGAAUAAGGAUCGGCUAACUCCGUGCCAGCAGCCGCGGUAAUACGGAGGAUCCGAGCGUUAUCCGGAUUUAUUGGGUUUAAAGGGGGCGUAGGCGGAAUAAUAAGGCAGUUGUGAAAGUGUGCGGCUCAACCGUAAAAUUGCAGUUGAUACUGUUAUUCUUGAGUGUACAUAAGGUAGGCGGAAUUCGUGGUGUAGCGGUGAAAUGCGUAGAUAUCACGAAGAACUCCAAUUGCGAAGGCAGCUUACCGGGGUACAACUGACGCUGAGGCACGAAAGUGUGGGUAUCAAACA
rnacentral:rRNA from 1 species